CCUUGCGCGCUCCCGCCAGCCCGCCCACCUCCACAUGCACACACCCGCGGCAAGAGGAGGAGCGGCAUCUUCCUCGCCUUCUUCGUUCCGCCAAUUUCAUUUCCCCCCGUCCUCACCUCUUUUUCUUAUUUUUCCUAAAUAUUUCAUUUUCUGUCAUCACUGUAAUCAUUUGUCGGGGUGCUCCGGCUGGCUCCCGCUGGAGAGAGUGGAUUAUUCCCUGGGGGAUCCCCACAGCUCCUGGGGAAGGUUGCUGGCACUGGAGCUGCAGUUCACUCACCAGAUACCAACCAAACACUAAUAUUUGGAGAAACCCUUGUGUAGGUACAAUUUCUCACCCAGGAUGCCUUUCAAAGCUGGAUUAGAACUCACUGAAUUGCAGAAUAUGACCGUCCCUGAAGAUGAUAACAUCAGCAAUGAUUCAAAUGAUUUCACAGAGGUGGAAAAUGGCCAAAUAAAUAGUAAGUUUAUUUCGGAUCGGGAAAGCAGAAGAAGUCUCACAAACAGCCACCUGGAGAAGAAGAAAUGCGAUGAAUAUAUCCCAGGAACUACUUCGCUGGGGAUGUCUGUCUUCAACCUCAGCAAUGCAAUUAUGGGCAGUGGGAUUUUGGGUCUUGCUUUUGCCUUAGCCAACACAGGAAUUCUCCUUUUUCUGCUGCUUUUGGUUUCAGUGACACUGCUGUCUAUUUAUUCAAUAUAUCUCCUGUUGGUGUGUGCAAAGGAAACAGGCUGCAUGGUGUAUGAAAAGCUGGGUGAGCAGGUCUUUGGUACCCCAGGGAAAAUUAUUAUCUUUGGAUCCACAUCUCUCCAGAACAUUGGAGCAAUGUUGAGUUAUCUCUUCAUAGUCAAAAAUGAGCUGCCUUCUGCCAUAAAGUUUCUAAUGGGAAAAGAAGAAAAUUUCUGGGAGUGGUACGUGGAUGGACGGAUUCUUGUUGUCACAGUGACAUUUGGUAUAAUCCUCCCUUUAUGCCUCCUUAAGAACUUAGGGUAUCUUGGCUACACCAGUGGAUUUUCAUUAAGCUGCAUGGUAUUUUUCCUGGUUGUGGUUAUUUACAAGAAGUUUCAAAUUUCCUGUGGUAUACCAGAGCUAAAUGCAACUUCAUCUAUCCUAUCAAAUAGCUCAGCACAUGAACAUAUGUGUAAGCCAAAGUAUGUUAUCUUUAAUUCCAAGACCGUGUAUGCUUUGCCCACCAUUGCUUUUGCAUUUGUGUGCCACCCAUCAGUCCUCCCGAUUUACAGCGAGCUUAAAGACCGUUCACAGAAAAAAAUGCAGUUGGUUUCUAAUAUCUCAUUUUUUGCCAUGUUUGUGAUGUACUUUAUGACUGCCAUAUUUGGCUAUUUGACUUUCUAUGACGAUGUGCAGUCAGAUCUGCUUCACAAGUACCAGAGCAAAGAUGACAUCCUUAUCCUGACCGUGCGCUUGGCUGUGAUUGUUGCGGUGAUACUCACGGUGCCAGUGCUGUUUUUCACUGUGCGUUCAUCAUUAUUUGAGCUGGCUAGGAAAACAAAAUUUGAUUUAUACCGCCAUGUUUUGGUUACUUUGGUUCUUUUGGUUAUCAUCAACCUGUUAGUCAUUUUUAUCCCAACCAUGAAGGAUAUUUUUGGAGUUGUAGGGGUCACUUCUGCCAACAUGCUGAUUUUCAUUCUUCCUUCAUCAUUGUAUUUAAAAAUUACACAGCAGGAUGGAUCAAAGUUGACUCAGAGGAUUUGGGCUUCUCUUUUCUUGGCGCUGGGAAUAAUGUUUUCCCUAGUGAGCAUUCCCUUGGUCAUCUAUGACUGGGUUCAAUCAGGAGCCAGUGCUGAAGGCCACUGAAGCUCACCUCCUUCUGAAGACACCCCUGUUUGCUACACACCAAAAUCUCAACCAUCCAUUCUGUUACCUAUUUCAUCUUUUGUUUAUACAUUCUUAACAGAAUGCAAUAGACCCUGCUGUAACUGUCAACAUCAGUGAUGGAUGACAAUAUUUGUAUGAGGUUAUCUGUAAAAUGUACUGCUGUUAUUCAGUUCAUUUGGAAUAGUGAACUUGUAGCCAACAAUGUACGAGUCCCACAUAUUAGCUAGGAUUUUAAGAGCACAGUGAAAUGCUGUAGGAGUUUCUCUGAUGUUAAAUUAAUAGGAUCCAGAGGACCAUAUCUACUUAGUAGGCAGUAGCAUGCUUUCUUCUCAUAGAGAGUUUAUCACUAUUGUGAGAACUGCAAAUGUCAUAGUCUGGAUGCAAAAUUGCUCCUAAUAAUAACUGCAACAAAAUAGUUUAAAAUUCUUGUUUGCCUAGUAGCAACAACUGAGUGGUGUUGGACAAGGAAAGACUAAUCAGAGGCAGGAGUUCCUAAAGACACUGCAGUAGUUAAUCCCAGACUUAAAAGAUGGUCUUGCUGCUUUUUCUAGUCCACAGGACAUCGCAAAGAAAAUAGUUGUGAACUUGAAGUACCCAUAAGGCUGCAGAAUACAGCUGCCCUUCUCUGUCCAGUGGUGAACACACCAGUAAAUAAAACACAGUAAAUUAGUAUUUGAGAACAGUCCCUCAGGAGCAGUGACCUCUCUGGGUGAUGCUUGCUCCUGGUCAGAGGGCCAAUGCCAAAUCCGUGCACCAGCACAAACCUUUUGUGGGGCUGAGACGCGCUGAGUGGUACCCAGCCUGUGUGCAGGCCCAGGGCAGAACAGCCUGCCUCAUCCUGUGAGGUCAGGGAUGGGGGUGCCUGUUCACUCCUGAAGGCUGUUUUCCUGAGUCCCACACACUGACCCAUAGCUUGUGCUUCACUUGCAGUGGUCACUCACGAAAAUGCAGAUUGGAUGGUAUGUGGGUUGUGUCUGUACAUCUGCCUUACAAUGUGUAAGCACGAGAGCUCUCUCUGAUAGUGUUAACAAUAGCAAUGAAUGGUAUCUCUAGCUUAUCUUUAAAUGAAUACAUUUCUUUGCUUGAACCUUACAUUAAGGCUAAAGAGCAUCUUGGUCAAAAACUAACUUUCCAUGUGGUGAUAUCCCACCUCCAGUCCUACCGUCCCACCCCAGUGCCUGUCAGAGGAAGGCACAGCAGAAUGUACUCAGCUCCAUCAGCAGCUCCACAAGAUGGCUUUAUAGCCUGGCACCAAGGUGCUUUCUUAAACAAUUUCCUGGAGCCCUUGGUGUCAGGAAAAUCCUUAUUUCCUAUUAAGUACACAAAGAAUGUUUUAUUUGUAUCUAAUGUAAGGAUUUCUGUAAUAAAACUGUGAAAAAAAAAGAAAAAAAGAUAAUGAAUUAAUAAAAAGUACAGGGCUGAAAAGGUCUAGAAUUCACAAAUUGUAUUCAUGCCUAUGUUUCUGAAGACAAAUCUAUGCAGUUGUGUUGUAUUGUAGGAGAUUUCAUUUUAAUGUACAUAUAUAUAUUGUAAAUAAAUAGGAUGCUGUAUAUUUUUGCAGUUGUUUAUCCCCUAUGAUAUAGAAGUGUUGAGGUAGGCUCUGCAUAUUAAGAAUAAAUUUAAGAGAUAUCCAAAUACUUCAGCUUCUGACUUAGCAAAAUGUAUAUCCUUUCCUUUGUCCCAAGAGUUCACAAGUUGAAUCCUAAACUUCAAAUUAUAAUUACAUUGCUAAUGUAACAAGAAAAAGAGAAUUCAUGAGGUCCAAUGAAAUUUCUGGGAUUAAUUCAGUGCAUGACCCCCUGUUUUCUCAACAGCGAGCUACCAGUUUUCCUUCUGGGUAAAAUAUCUCCCUUGUAAAGGGCCCCUUUGGUGCCCAGGUACCUCUUACCUCCUCAGCUGAGGACAGGUGGUAGUAGUGCUGAAAAGGUUUUAUGCAGAACCCAGAGCAAACUGCAGCCAGUGAUCUGACCCUGCAUUAUGCCAUGUUGUAUCCAGGCAUGUAUUUACCCAACUAGUACAAACAGAAGCCAGGGCAGGACUCCUGCAUUUUCAUUUUCAGCCACCAGAAAUGCCUGUAGUUCAGGAAAAAAAAAAGCUACACGCCAGGGAUGGGCAGCAAUCAGAGCAAUUUGUGCCAUUUCUAGCCCGCCGUCUUUCUGCAGAGUCCUGCAGCUGACUGCUACUCCGCUGCAGCACCAGGCAAGCUGUUAUCAUACAAUGAAAACACCGAGGCUGACAGAGCAUCCCCAGCCAGGGACUGCUAGCACAUCCCUCCCUGUGAACAGGCCUAAGCCAGUGUUUUGGUCGUAGGAUAGCUGUGUGUCCAGGGGUGAGGAUGACAAGAGGCAGGGGGGAGUUGUGUAUGUCCUUAAUAGUGCCUCUGUCGAGAGCCUUGCACAGACCAUCUCACUGGUAAAGCACAGAAAUGUGGGGUUUAGGAUUGCUGGAAAAUAGAGGUUGAGACAUGCAUCUAAAAAGAACUAAUUUAUUUCCGUGUUUGCUUUGUGGUCUUGGAUGAAAGUGAAACUUGAAAUAACAUUUGCUUUCACUGUUAAGCACAAAUUUGAGGGGAAGAAACACACCUAUAUUCAGCCACUUCUACAGAGCUUUGCAAAUUAAUACAAGUGUAUGUUUUGUUUUAAGUGUUAUAGCCAACAAAAUAUAAACUGUAAAGGUAUUUUUCCACAAGACUUGAACUUUAACUUGUUUAUAGAAACCUGGUUUUAGUGUCCCAAGGUAUGUUAAGGCUCACCCAGAUCCAGUAUAAACAAUAGUGUUUGAAUGGUGUACGCUUGAUAUGAGCUUGUCUCUAAUAGAUUGUUGAAGUGAGUCAUUGGUAAUAUUUUGCUCCUGCUAACAUCACCAUACUUUGUGCUGCUCAUAUCCAAAUAAAUGAUGCAAUUUUUCAGUUUCUGUGUGUAAAUAAUAAUAAUAAAAUGUACUAAGUUCUAUAAUCUCUCUGUUACCUCUAUAGUUUUUAAACAUUAAAAUUGUGAUCA